rnacentral:rRNA from 1 species
CCUACGGGUGGCUGCAGUGAGGAAUAUUGGUCAAUGGACGCAAGUCUGAACCAGCCAUGCAGCGUGCAGGAAGACGGCUCUAUGAGUUGUAAACUGCUUUUGUACGAGGGUAAACGCAGAUACGCGUACCUGUCUGAAAGUAUCGUACGAAUAAGGAUCGGCUAACUCCGUGCCAGCAGCCGCGGUAAUACGGAGGAUUCAAGCGUUAUCCGGAUUUAUUGGGUUUAAAGGGUGCGUAGGCGGUCGGAUAAGUCAGAUGUGAAAUCCCGAGGCUCAACUUCGGAAUUGCCUUUGAUACUGUUAGGCUUGAGAGUAGUUGCGGUAGGCGGAAUGUAUGGUGUAGCGGUGAAAUGCUUAGAGAUCAUACAGAACACCGAUUGCGAAGGCAGCUUACCAAGCUACUUCUGACGUUGAGGCACGAAAGUGUGGGUAUCGAACAGGAUUAGAUACCCGGGUAGUC